rnacentral:rRNA from 1 species
GACGAACGCUGGCGGCGUGCCUAAUACAUGCAAGUAGAACGCACAGUUUAUACCGUAGCUUGCUACACCAUAGACUGUGAGUUGCGAACGGGUGAGUAACGCGUAGGUAACCUGCCUGGUAGCGUGGGAUAACUAUUGGAAACGAUAGCUAAUACCGCAUAAUAUUAAUUAUUGCAUGAUAAUUAAUUGAAAGGUGCAAUUGCACCACUACCAGAUGGACCUGCGUUGUAUUAGCUAGUAGGUGAGGUAACGGCUCACCUAGGCGACGAUACAUAGCCGAACGGAGAGGGUGAUCGGCCACACUGGGACUGAGACACGGCACAGACUGCUACGGGAGGCAGCAGUAGGGAAACGUCGGCAAUGGACGAAAGUCUGACCGAGCAACGCCGCGUGAGGGAAGAAGGUUGUCGGAUCGUAAAGCUCUGUUGUAAGAGAAGAACGGGUGUGAGAGUGGAAAGUUCACACUGUGACGGUAGCUUACCAGAAAGGGGCGGCUAACUACGUG